UACGUAGGGGCAAGCGUUGUCCGGAUUUAUUGGGCGUAAAGAGCUCGUAGGUGGUUCGGUAAGUCGGAUGUGAAAUCUCCAGGCUCAACCUGGAGGGUCAUUCGAUACUGCCGUGACUAGAGGUCGGUAGGGGAGUGUGGAAUUCCUGGUGGAGCGGUGAAAUGCGCAGAUAUCAGGAGGAACACCCGUAGCGAAGGCGGCACUCUGGGCCGAUACUGACACUGAGGAGCGAAAGCGUGGGGAGCGAACAGG
rnacentral:rRNA from 1 species